UACGUAGGGUCCGAGCGUUUGUCCGGAAUUACUGGGCGUAAAGAGCUCGUAGGCGGUUUGUCGCGUCUGCUGUGAAAACUGGGGGCUCAACCCCCAGCCUGCAGUGGGUACGGGCAGACUAGAGUGCGGUAGGGGAGAUUGGAAUUCCUGGUGUAGCGGUGGAAUGCGCAGAUAUCAGGAGGAACACCGGUGGCGAAGGCGGUUCUCUGGGGCAGUUGCUGACACUGGAGGCGCGACAGCGUGGGGAGCAAACAGG
rnacentral:rRNA from 1 species